rnacentral:rRNA from 1 species
GACGAACGCUGGCGGCGUGCUUAACACAUGCAAGUCGAACGGAAAGGCCCUGCUUUUGUGGGGUGCUCGAGUGGCGAACGGGUGAGUAACACGUGAGUAACCUGCCCUUGACUUUGGGAUAACUUCGGGAAACUGGGGCUAAUACCGGAUAGGAGCUCCUGCUGCAUGGUGGGGGUUGGAAAGUUUCGGCGGUUGGGGAUGGACUCGCGGCUUAUCAGCUUGUUGGUGGGGUAGUGGCUUACCAAGGCUUUGACGGGUAGCCGGCCUGAGAGGGUGACCGGCCACAUUGGGACUGAGAUACGGCCCAGACUCCUACGGGAGGCAGCAGUGGGGAAUAUUGCACAAUGGGCGGAAGCCUGAUGCAGCAACGCCGCGUGCGGGAUGACGGCCUUCGGGUUGUAAACCGCUUCCGCCUGUGACGAAGCGUGAGUGACGGUAAUGGGUAAAGAAGCACCGGCUAACUACGUG